rnacentral:lncRNA from 1 species
UUAUAUUAAUUAAUAUGAAUACCAAUACAACCCGAUCGGGGUGUCACAAGUCACGAGUAUUUAAAGAGUAGGAACACUACUACUGGUCCAACAAUGUAUACAUAUACAAGAUAAAAUCGGAAUGCAAAGAUGGGGUGCGGUGCCGCGAACGCUGGCGGUCACCUUGCUCAACUACCACAAUAAAGCCUUCAGUCCUACUGAUAACAUGCUACCGGGCGGACAAUACCUGCAACUGCACGCAAGGUGCAGGGAGUAAAGUGAGUACUUUCAACUCAGUGGUNNNNNNNNNNNNNNNNNNNNNNNNNNNNNNNNNNNNNNNNNNNNNNNNNNNNNNNNNNNNNNNNNNNNNUUCAUCUCAGUGGUAAUAAGAGAGAAUAAUAUCUGAGCGAUAAGAAAACACGUAUGAGCACACCAAACUGCUAUAAAAGACAAAACAACCCUUUUGAGAAAAAAUAGAAAUACUGUGAAGAUCCCUUUAGAAAAUCUCAAGAUCAGUUCAAAAUCUCUUUUGAAAAUAUACUUUUUCAACAAUUAUAAAGAUAAUUUCAACAAGUAGGAAAUAAUCUGAAACAUGCCCCUCGGGCUCAAUAUCACCCCCGCAGUGCAGUAACAGCCCCACGGGCUCACUCCCAACUCACAUUAUCCAACAUCAGCCUCUCGGGCUCAGCACUCCUUAACAUAUAACACCAGAGUAUCUGUUCUGUAUGCCAAUGAUAUAUGAGUGCUAAAUGUCAUGCCAUGUAGUACAAACAGUAGUAAAUGCACGAAUGCAAUGUACUGCAAUGCAUAUGACUGCCGCGGGUCGUGCAGCCCGAUCCAUUUGGGUACCCCCGCUCACUGUGAGGGUUCAGACUCUGGAGGGACUCCUACAGCCCAAGCGCAAUAUCAAUAUCACACCACUGCGGCGUGUAGCCUGAUCCAUGCAAUGUAUAUGCACAUGUAAACAUAACACUCGAGGCCUGAAGCCUCCUUACAUCAUCUUCAUGUCCUCACAAAUGGCCCUCAACCUCAAUCAGUACAAAAUAGUCAAAAAACCCCUCGGGCAUCAGUAAAACAAUUAUACUCAGCUCAAAUGAUAGUUCAAAUAUCAGUUAAAACUCCAAGUUUGAGUAAAAANNNNNNNNNNNNNNNNNNNNNNNNNNNNNNNNNNNNNNNNNNNNNNNNNNNNNNNNNNNNNNNNNNNNNAGUAAAAAUAUAAUUGAGUUCAUGAAACAGUGUAAACCACAUGGACUAAGUUCAAAUAAUAUUUCAAAUAGUGAGGAAAACAAUGAUGAUAGCUCACAAUUCAAACAAUCGGCAAUAAGCCCCAAGUAUGACAAUGAGCCCAAGUCAGAAUUAUAAUAACAAAUCAUUCGAAAUUACGCGGUGAAUACCAACAACCGAGACGGACCAAGUCACAAUCCCCAACGGUGUUCUACCCCACGCUCAGGUCCAGCGUGCAAGUCACCACAAUACAGCACUAAGAUGUGCAAAUCGGUGGUUUCAAACCCUCAGAAUAUCAUUCCCAAGUAUUACUCACCUCGAACCGGCGAAAUCUCAAGCUCGCGACGCCUUUUCCCCUCAAAUCAGCCUCCACGCGCGUCGAAUCUAGCCAAAAAUAGAUCGAAUACAUCACAAUACGCAAAUGGGACAAUACCCACUCGAAAACAAUUGAAAUAUGACAAGAAUCUCGAAACUAGCCAAAACCGAGACUCGGGCCCGUUUAUCAAAAAAUAAUGAAACUUAUAUUUCCGGAAUCCUUCUCUCGCCGCGAGUUCAUACAUACCAAGAACUCCCAAAUCCGAGCUCAAAUGACCUAUGAAAUCCCAAUUUGAAAUAUCAAAAACUCAAGCCUUAGUUUAUUCAAUUUUAUACCCAAAUUCAGAGAAUUAAUGGAUGAUUCUUUGGUUAAAUGACGUUUUUAACUCAUAAAACUUACCUCCAACCGACUCCCAAUCGAAACCCUCUUAAUUCCUUGCCAAAAUCUCCCAAGAUUGCUUAUAAAUGUUUGGAAAAUAAACCCAAAUCGCGGAUGAAAUGGUUUAAAAACAAUUUGCCUAGGUCCAAAAUCCUUCAUCACGUUCGCGACUUCUCCCACGCGAACGCGAAGGCAAAAAAUAUUUUAACAGUCCAAAAUCUCUACGCGGACGCGGUAGCAUUCACACGAUUGUGAUGCACAAGAAUUCCAGGCCCUCAAAUUACUCUAUGCGGUCGCGUUACUCCUCACGCGAUCGCGAUGCUUUCUGGUCUGCAACAUAUGACAGCAAAAAUUUGAUCUCUCCCAAGGCCAAAACUAGUCUGUUUGAACACUCGAAAUCUCCCCGAGACCCCCGGGACCUCAACCAAAGACACCAACAUAACCCAAAACAUCGUACGAACUUGUUCCAAUCAUAAAAACACGACAACAACACAAAAAUCAUCAAAUUACCACGGAUUCAAGCCUAAAUUUUCUUAAAACUUUCGAAAUUCAUAUUCGAUCAAAAACCCGAUCAAACGAUGUUCGAAUGACCUAAAAAUUUGCAGACAUAUCCAAAAUCACCUAAAGAAGCUACUGCAACUCUCGAAAUUCCUUUACGACCCUCGGAUCAAAAUCUCUCAUAUCAAUCGGAAUCCGCCAAAAUUCGAACUUCCCCAAUUCAAGCCUAAUUCUACGCCGGACCUCUAAAUUCAAUUCUGACCGCUCUCCUAAGUCACAAAUCAUCUCUCGAAGCAAACCGAAUCAUCGAAAAUGCAUUCCGAGCCCUCUAACUCACAAGUCAAUGUCCGGUUAACUUUUCCAACUUAAACUUUUCUCAAAGAUACUAUUUGUCUCAUUUCUACUCAAAUUCAAUGCGAAACACUUUAAACUCACCAAACACAUAUAAUUACACAAGAAGAAGCAUAAAACGGGGAAAACGAGACAGAGAUAUAGGAUACGACGGGUCGGGUCGUCACAAUUUUUAUGGCUACCAAUGGCAGGGGCGGAGCUAGAGAGUUGAGUACGGGGCCGAACCCAGUAACUUUGGUUCAAACCAUGUAUUUGGUUUAAAUAAUUAUUGAAUAUGUAUAAAUUAUUAUUUUAGAAGCCAGUAACUUAAAAAAAUUAAAACUCUAAACCCACAAGCUUGAAAUCUUGGCUCCGCCUCUAAUUAAUGGUGAAAAAUAUAUGGAAGAACAGUUGAAGAUGAAGAUGAAGAACGGAAAUCUCCUUUCCGUUUCAAAACUUGAAUUUAAUGUAGAAUCAACCAAUCCACAAAUUGAAGUUAAUGUAGAAUCAAUUGCUCCCAAAAUUCUUUCCUGAUUUGUAAUAUACUUUUACUAUAGCCUUUUAGUGUAGAAUCCAUCAUUAAAGCCUAAGCACACUUAUGGUAGAUUUUUACUUUACACUCAAUCAAUACAAUAUUUUUUCCUAAUUUUUAGGGGGUGAUUGAGGGAAUAUUAACAAAUAGUACAUUAGUUGUAGGAAAAAUAUGAACUAAACGGGUAAUUUAAAUAUUAUACACCUUUUUAAUAAUAAGAUUCCAUAUAUGCUAUAAAUAAGAAAAAAUCUCUUACCCAAGAAUAAUUGAAGUCAAAUACCGAGUAGCCCAAGUUGCUUGUAAAUUACGAAGCCAAAAGUCAAUAAAUCGAAAACCCCUUAUGAAUAAAUCGAAAACCCCUUUCUUUAAAGUCUUAUAAAGACGCGAUGAUCAGAAAACCAAGAAGCCAACAAGACUUUAAAAGAAACUGGCGAUGUCGUCGCUUCCGCGUUGGUGCUAUGUUU